UACAGCCACAUCUACGUUGAAACACUCGUUCCUGUAUGAUCAGCAAAGUUAAGCAACGUCAAGCCUAAUCAGUACCUAGAUGGGUGACCACUUGGAAAUACCAGGCGCUGUAAG